rnacentral:rRNA from 1 species
UACGUAGGGUGCAAGCGUUGUCCGGAAUUAUUGGGCGUAAAGAGCUCGUAGGCGGUUCGUCACGUCGGCUGUGAAAUCCCGAGGCUCAACCUCGGGUCUGCAGUCGAUACGGGCGGACUGGAGUACUGCAGGGGAGACUGGAAUUCCUGGUGUAGCGGUGAAAUGCGCAGAUAUCAGGAGGAACACCGGUGGCGAAGGCGGGUCUCUGGGCAGUAACUGACGCUGGAGGAAGCGAAAGGCGUGGGGAGGCGAACAGG